GGGCGAGUGCUCGCGAUGUCCACGUCGGACUAACUAGAAGACAAAAAGAUUCACUUCAUCGAGAAGAAAGAGCGAAAGAGAUUGGCCAGCAGCGACAAGAGAUGCGGACCCAGUCCUCAUCCCCCGAUUCUCUCCCUCUCCCUUUCCCUCGUCUGCCGCCGCCGCCACCGCCGGCGCCCAGGUGUGGCGCUGCUCUUCCCCACGGCCCUGACGGCAAGGUGGCGAAAAGGACGAGAUCCACCCGGACGAGGUUGAUGCGCCCCCUGCCACACUUCCUUCUCCAUCGCGUCACCAUAUUCGGAGGAACCAUGGCUGCUGCUCACGCAUCUGCUUUCCGCUCCUCCCGGAGUUGUCGCCAUCGGUAUGAGGGAGUGCCGGACCGCGCGCUAACUCGAGGACCGCCGCUCCGGCGGCCCGUUGUUUCUAGCCGUCGUCCGCCUCGUUGGCCCUCUUCCUGGCUUGCCCUCUAGUGCCCCAUCCAUUCGCUACCAGUCAGGCACCAGGGUAAAGCGAAGAAAAUUGUUUCAGCACAGUCCAUCUGGUUUGACAUUUUGAAGGCACAAAUAGAAACAAGAAAACCAUAUAUGAUAUAUAAGCUUCAGGUUGCCGGCACCUAGGAGGGACGGGAUAGCAAAAUCGGUGCUCAUCGAAGAUGGCGUUGAUGCCCCUUACGGCCUUACCCGACAACACAGUUCUACGGAAGCUUCUUCUAAGUGCCAAGUAAAUUUCCUUUUACAUGGAUAAUUAUGGUGAGUUGAUAGUUAAUUAUCUUACUUUUGCUCAUCAUGCGUAUACCAAGACACUUCUUCGUACGUGAUGGAUACACACGCACAGAGUGAGCUUUUCUCUGCGGUUCUGGUGACCUGCGCACAGGGUCUCCGUUCCAUGGUGUUGCCAACAAGCAAGAUGUGGAGACCUAUCAUGAGCCUCUCCUUUCACAUCAGAUUGUGUUCCAUCGAAAAAGCUUGGGUAUUCUUAUUCCAUCAAUUUUGGGAUGAUUGUCAAAAUCCCAGGAUAUGAUUUAGAACCUAACAUUAUAUCUUACUGUAUGAUACGACUGUCUAAUACUCAUAUUGUGAGGGACACGGGAAGAGUAGGUCGCUGGCGAUGAAAGCAUGUGAGGGACACAGGAGGAGCAUUGGUCGGGGGGGGGGGGGGGGGCGCAUCGAUGUGAUGUUGAUGUCAAGGGCAUAUGGUGAACUGACCACUUGUCUCUGUACAUAUUCUUUCACCCGGAGACCAUCGGUUGGUUUAUGAUAGCUUAUGCAAAAUUGCUGAAGCACAAAAUAGAAGGGUGCAGAUGAGGAGGCGGGGGCUGACGACAGCCACGGGAGGAGGUCAGGGUGGUUGAAGAAUAAGGCACGGGCGGCUCCGGCAAGACGUGUCUCCAGUGGAUGUCCACGAUGAGGCAAUGAGAAGACCCUCUCUGUGAGCCCUAUCCCUCUCAUUUGGCCUCUCGAUUUAUGGUUCUCAUGCUCCCUGUUUCUGUGUUCUUUGUUUGUGGUGAUCACUAAUCAGUCUCGUCUUCGGCACCUGGAUCCUCGUCAUCGAUCUUUCCCACCCGGACGAACGCACCAUGGCCUCUCAGAUCACACACAAGACUAAUCCAUGGCUGAGUAACAUCACCCUCUUUCUUUUUUUCUCUUCAUUCUUCCAUGUUCCUCUUUUAAGUAGUCUCUCCUUGGACUACUCUACAAGGUGUCAAUUUGUACUAUUUUUUCUUGUUGCCUUAUACAAUCUGUCAAUCAUACACUUUUGACCUCUAUGUACGUGUUGGCUGAUUCAUUUGUGCAAUACAAAAGACGAUGAUGCCAUGACAGACCAAUCUUGCAAUUUCACCAUCCAUUUGAUGUCUCCGCUCUUAAGAUAAGGUAAUAUUAGCUGGAUCCGUGCUACUUCCUCCAAUAACAGUAUAUGAUUGGCAUGUGUGUAUUACAGAUCUGACACACAUAUGUUUGGAAAUGGAGACGGUUUCGUCUUGUUCUGUGUCUUUGUCAUCCGGCAAGUGUCUAGAUUUCUUUUAAUUUCUUGAGUAUUACUUUUAAAAGUCGAAGUGCAGUGUGAUGCCAGUGAGGAGGUUAGCUCUUUUGCUCUUCACGAGCUUCUGUUGAUAUUUGACUAGCAUGGUACUAUCUGAUUUGGCACUACCAUUUUUGUUGACUUAUAUACGGCCAUGUUUUUCCUUGUAAAAAACAUCCAAGCCACUGUAACAUGUUUCGUAAGCAAGACCUUAAAUCGUGUUUCCGGAUCUGUCUCAACAAGGAUAUGAAAGAAUUACCAUCACUGUAGCUGGAUAUCAUACAUGAUAUUGUGGAUAUAUACUUGCUAUGGUUUUUCCAUUAUAAGGUAUAACUGUCGCAGCUAUAACGGGCUAUUGUUGAUUUGUUAUUGUCCCUUGUUUGUCUCACAGUUUAGUCCUUCCACUGUGAAGCAGACCAAAAUUGUCAUACAUGAACAAUUACUAUAUAUGUGCUAUGUACUUCCUGCAAAUCCCACACCACUAAUUUCCGCUAAAACCACACUACUAAUUGAUAUUGUAUAGAAUAUACGAGGGCAAAUUUCACUAGGUUGUUCAUUGACUAGAUCGUCCUAGUUAUCAUACUAUACUGAGCGGUUGAAUUAUCGUAUUGAUUGGAGCAAGGUGAGUAUAGCGGCGAGAUCUUAAAAAGUGGUUCUUAGUGGUGUACAUGUUGUAGGUGAUCAAUUUGGUCUGGUUGAAUUUUUCUUUUAUCUUUGUGAUUGCUUUUCUCAAAAUCGAUUAAAAAAUAAUGAUGCAUAUUCAUUUCUGACAUUUGAUGCCUAGAUGUUUGAUUAUAGAGCGGACAAGUCAAUGUUAUUCUUUGGAAGUUCCAAAGUCAAACUACUUACAUCAUUGUUUCUACAUUAUAUUUGUUUCUCUAUGAAAACAUAAUUGUGAUGUAAGAAUUCUUAUGGAUCAAUGCACAUAACAGUUAUGCAGCAAACCUUUCUCUAUAAAGUUCAAAUUAUAUACAUUGAAGAUUCUGAAGUGGGUCAGGUUUUGUAUAUGUUUGCUAAUAUAGAUCGACUUUAGUAUUUUGUAUGGUUUAUAAUAUAAUUUAUGGAUCAAUAUUUUUGCAUAAAGCUCCCCUUUGGACUGUAGUUUUCUUCUGCUGCAGUUGUGUUGGUUGCCCAACAUAAAAGCUCUAAGAUUUGGCACAUGUUUUAAUGCUAAUAUUUUAAGCUGUCGAUAGUUAUACUUCAUGUGCUUUGAUGAGCAAAUGAUAUUUUCAUGCAGAAGUCAAUAUUAUCUGCAAUUUAAAAGUGUCUUAUAUUUGCAUAUAAAUUAUUUGAUGUCACAAUAUGAGCAUUUAGGCUCUUAUCUGAUAUAUUUACAUACCCUCCUCCUUUUAGCUCUCGUUCUGAAAUAAAAGUGAAUUAUUAUUGGAAAUACACCAGAUUCUUCCCAUAUGGCAAUGGUAGUUCUAGGAUUAGUUCUUAAGUGCUUGCGACUUAUUACCGAGUACUUCUACUUAAUAUUUCUUAUUAUUUGUUGUCAAAUAGGCGUAAAUGCACCAUAUUUAUUUUUGUUAAUAAUCAUCAACUUGAUAUUAGAGCUUGGUCGUCUCAGUUUAUAUUAGAGCUUUCUCACGUGGUGCAUCAGUAUAAUAAGUUUAUAAAAAAUUGCAUGUAUGUGCUAUCUAGAUCCAUAAAGGAAAUUGAAGGGGCGUUCCCCUACCUGGCACUGCCCAAUACAAUCUCUGAAUAUGUUGCAUUUGCACUGCUCUAUACUCUCUUGUAAAAUAUAAUUUGUACUAUGAAGUACACAAACUGACAUAUGCUCUCUUGUAAAAUACAUAUUGAACCUGAGCCAAUGACUUACCCUCAGAGGCCUAGAGAAACUAUUUGUGAUGUAUGUUGUGAAGACCGUAUUUUGCAAGUUUAUUGAAAGAUGCAAGUUUCACCAUCCAGUUGAUUGGUCUGCACCUGAUUGCAUUGCAAAAUGGAAGGAGAGAGAGGUAACAUCAAGAAAUAAUCCCACUAAAUUUGUUGCCAAUUCAUGAUAUAAAUGGUUUUUCUAUAAUGUUUUCCCUAUUUUAUUUUUCCAAAUCAUUCUCACUUUGUUACCUAUACAUGAUGGCCCUAAUUUUCCUUUUCAGUUCAGACCCCGUUCCAAAUAUGAUCGAAAUGAUUGCAAUACUAAUUAUGAUUUGCAAACCGAAUAUUGAAGUAAUAACUAUAACUCUACACUCUACAGUAAGGUGUGCAGAGUAAAAAAUGGUCUAAAUAAAUGAAGAGAACCCCUGUACAAGCAACUUUUGAUGAACGCUAAUCGAAUCAUUCUUGUGAAAUCUGUAGAGUGUUUCUGUUGUUUCUUUCUGUAGGCAUAUUUUUUGUACCGAGUUAUUUUGGUGUAUGUCCAAUCUUGUAUUUCCAGUUGAGGCAUACAAUCGAAAUUCAUAAUGUAUUGCAAUAUGGCUGGUGUUGGGAUAGUAUGUGGAUUUGAUUCAGUUUCUUAGUGUCAUUCUAGAUUAGCGAUUUAAUCUCCCAAAGAUGUUGAACAAUUUCAUGCAAAUGGUGCCCAUCAACGCUGCUACCCUUGGAAAAUUGCCAUGAUAUGGAUUGACGACCACGGGGCGUGUUUAUUGCCUCUACCGGAGAGCGGGAGGACGCAGACCAGGGCCAACCCAAGUUGGAUGACGAGGUGUCAUCGAAGGCGGAGGAGAGGUCCGACGUGAGCAGUGAUAUGGUGGGGUUUAGCAAGGUCAAUAAGGUGACCCGCAGGGCUUGGCAAGAAGGUGAGACAUGGCCGCAGGAGCGGAGCACAUCUUCAGAAGGAUGAACAGGCAUGGCGACGGCAUGCACCUGGUUGCGACCUCAAUUUUAAAAUACUCAUCGGGUCUUUCGUUCCAGCAGUCAUGAUAUAGCUUGAGCGUUUGUCCCAUCGACGAAGACUACUUACUAUACGCGUUUUCGAGUUGCAUUUAGUGCUCCUUUUCGUCGCCAGCUAAAUCAAUCAAUUUGACAAGAUCUUGCAACUCUCUCCGUUUGGAUUUCGAGUCCAAAAGGCGAAGCUUGAGUACUUUGAAGAGCAUUUAAGAACAGCUCAUAAGCAAUUCCAAGUGGCAGAGAUGACUCGAGGGACCUCGCCCAACUAUGAACCGUACGAGCACAUCCUCUGUCACCCCCACCGCGCUUACGGCUCUAUACCCCUGUGAGGUGCCCAUAGCUUCCUGGAAAGAAGAAGAUUUGGCCCAAUAGUCCCUCCAAUUUGAAGUGAUCAAGCCACCACAGGCCAGUUCAGGCUUCUGAAUUUGUGGUUUUGAUCAAUGGCAAACAUGUACAUAGAUGUAGCAGAAUUCACUAGACACGGUUACCAGUUGUGGAUUCAUUACAAUAUAUUUUAUCUUAAUAAAUAUAUUUGAUGUUCGUUCGUGUAGCCUUUGGUUUUUAUAUAUUGAUUCAGUGUUGUACCUACGCUAACAAUUCAUACAGGUGAUAGAUACGUAGCAUUUCUAGCUGAAAAGGAAGGGAAACAAGCUUGCCAUUAAUUAAUGUAGUAAUUUGACUAGGCAAUGGUUCGUGGAAGGGAUUAAGAUGAGCAGACAAUAUGGCAGCUCAGAGUAACUAUCCCAGGGCGGUUGAUAACCAGGCAGCACAGAGGAAUUGUCUCAUGACAGCAUGUUUGAGAGAUAGAUUGGGCAGAACUACAACCUGAGGUUGUGCAGGUUUAGGGAUACCUCUUGCCAAGGUUAUAUCAUUUAAAGUUUGGCGAAAGACAAAAAUAUAUAAUAGGUGAUGACCAACCAAGGAGAGGAUGUUGAUGAGAUCAAUGACACCAGAGGGACAGACAGGCAGCUGCGAAGCAUCCGACAGAACAGCCGGUGAACAGGAGGAGCAAAGGAAGCAUCUCUUGCGUCACUCUAAACAUCUGCUGCUUGCAGAGCUUCAGCCGGUGAACAGGAGGAGCUUCAGCUCCGUUGUCGUGAACUUCAACGGUUGGCCGAGCUUCAACCUCUUGCCCCUCAAGUGUACAGUUGGUUCUACGCCAAAUAGGUUUCACAAUUUUCUGUUGUUAUUUGUACAAUAUAGUGUUUAAUCUGGUUGUGAAUAAUCCGCCACCUAAGGGGAUCAAGGUCUCUAAAAUAUUGUUGUUUGUUCAAA